UACGUAGGGUGCAAGCGUUAAUCGGAAUUACUGGGCGUAAAGCGUGCGCAGGCGGUUAUGUAAGACAGGUGUGAAAUCCCCGGGCUUAACCUGGGAACUGCAUUUGUGACUGCAUAGCUAGAGUACGGUAGAGGGGGAUGGAAUUCCGCGUGUAGCAGUGAAAUGCGUAGAUAUGCGGAGGAACACCGAUGGCGAAGGCAAUCCCCUGGACCUGUACUGACGCUCACGCACGAAAGCGUGGGGAGCAAACAGG
rnacentral:rRNA from 1 species